ACACUCCUGCGGGAGGCAGCAGUGGGGAAUAUUGCACAAUGGGCGCAAGCCUGAUGCAGCCAUGCCGCGUGUAUGAAGAAGGCCUUCGGGUUGUAAAGUACUUUCAGCGGGGAGGAAGGCGAUAAGGUUAAUAACCUUGUCGAUUGACGUUACCCGCAGAAGAAGCACCGGCUAACUCCGUGCCAGCAGCCGCGGUAAUACGGAGGGUGCAAGCGUUAAUCGGAAUUACUGGGCGUAAAGCGCACGCAGGCGGUCUGUCAAGUCGGAUGUGAAAUCCCCGGGCUAAACCUGGGAACUGCAUUCGAAACUGGCAGGCUAGAGUCUUGUAGAGGGGGGUAGAAUUCCAGGUGUAGCGGUGAAAUGCGUAGAGAUCUGGAGGAAUACCGGUGGCGAAGGCGGCCCCCUGGACAAAGACUGACGCUCAGGUGCGAAAGCGGGGGAGCAAACAGGAUUAGAUACCCCUGUAGUCCC
rnacentral:rRNA from 1 species